rnacentral:rRNA from 1 species
GAUGAACGCUGGCGGCGUGCCUAAUACAUGCAAGUCGAGCGAACAGACGAGGAGCUUGCUCCUCUGACGUUAGCGGCGGACGGGUGAGUAACACGUGGAUAACCUACCUAUAAGACUGGGAUAACUUCGGGAAACCGGAGCUAAUACCGGAUAACAUGUUGAACCGCAUGGUUUAACAGUGAAAGACGGUCUUGCUGUCACUUAUAGAUGGAUCCGCGCCGCAUUAGCUAGUUGGUAAAGUAACGGCUUACCAAGGCAACGAUGCGUAGCCGACCUGAGAGGGUGAUCGGCCACACUGGAACUGAGACACGGUCCAGACUCCUACGGGAGGCAGCAGUAGGGAAUCUUCCGCAAUGGGCGAAAGCCUGACGGAGCAACGCCGCGUGAGUGAAGAAGGUCUUCGGAUCGUAAAACUCUGUUAUUAGGGAAGAACAAAUGUGUAAGUAACUAUGCACGUCUUGACGGUACCUAAUCAGAAAGCCACGGCUAACUACGUG